rnacentral:rRNA from 1 species
AACGAACGCUGGCGGCAUGCCUAACACAUGCAAGUCGAACGAGACCUUCGGGUCUAGUGGCGCACGGGUGCGUAACGCGUGGGAACCUGCCCUUAGGUUCGGAAUAACUCCCCGAAAGGGGUGCUAAUACCGGAUAAUGUCUUCGGACCAAAGAUUUAUCGCCUUUGGAUGGGCCCGCGUUGGAUUAGCUAGUUGGUAGGGUAAAAGCCUACCAAGGCGACGAUCCAUAGCUGGUCUGAGAGGAUGAUCAGCCACACUGGGACUGAGACACGGCCCAGACUCCUACGGGAGGCAGCAGUGGGGAAUAGUGGACAAGGGGCGAAAGCCUGAUCCAGCAAUGCCGCGUGAGUGAUGAAGGCCUUAGGGUUGUAAAGCUCUUUUAACCGGGAUGAUAAUGACAGUACCGGGAGAAUAAGCUCCGGCUAACUCCGUG